GUGCCUUUAGCUCAGUAGGAUAGAGCAACUGCCUUCUAAGCAGUAGGUCGGGGGUUCGAAUCCCUCAAGGCACGCCA
rnacentral:tRNA from 1 species